rnacentral:rRNA from 1 species
UACAGAGGUCUCAAGCGUUGUUCGGAUUCAUUGGGCGUAAAGGGUGCGUAGGCGGCGCGGUAAGUCGGAUGUGAAAUCUCGGGGCUUAACUCCGAAACUGCAUUCGAUACUGCCGUGCUUGAGGACUGGAGAGGAGACUGGAAUUUACGGUGUAGCGGCGAAAUGCGUAGAUAUCGUAAGGAAGACCAGUGGCGAAGGCGGGUCUCUGGACAGUUCCUGACGCUGAGGCACGAAGGCCAGGGGAGCAAACGGG